UGGGGAAUCUUCCGCAAAUGGGGCGCAAGCCUGACGGAGCAACGCCGCGUGAGUGAAGAAGGUUUUCGGAUCGUAAAGCUCUGUUGAGAGGGACGAGAGGCAAGGCUAGGAAAUGAGCUUUGUAGGACGGUACCUUUCGAGGAAGCCACGGCUAACUACGUGCCAGCAGCCGCGGUAAUACGUAGGUGGCGAGCGUUGUCCGGAAUUAUUGGGCGUAAAGGGAGCGCAGGCGGGAGGUCAAGUCUAUCUUAAAAGUGCGGGGCUCAACCCCGUGAGGGGAUGGAAACUGGUCUUCUUGAGUGCAGGAGAGGAAAGCGGAAUUCCUAGUGUAGCGGUGAAAUGCGUAGAUAUUAGGAGGAACACCAGUGGCGAAGGCGGCUUUCUGGACUGUAACUGACGCUGAGGCUCGAAAGCGUGGG
rnacentral:rRNA from 1 species